GGAUAAGCUACAAAGAGCUAACGGUGGAUGCCUUGGCAUCGGGAGGCGAAGAAGGACGCGGUAAGCUGCGAUAAGCUUCGGGGAGCGGUUAACACGCUUUGAUCCGGAGGUUUCCGAAUGGGGCAACCCGGCAGGAGUCAUAUCCUGUCAUCUGUUUCUCAAUACAUAGGAAACAGAGGCGAACGCAGGGAACUGAAACAUCUAAGUACCUGCAGGAGUAGAAAUCAAUUGAGAUUCCGUCAGUAGCGGCGAGCGAACGCGGAUUAGCCCAAACCAGGCUUCGGCCUGGGGUUGUAGGACCCCAACGUGGGAUGCAUGCACGAUAGUGGAACGGCAUGGAAAGGCCGACCGUAGACGGUGAUAGUCCGGUACGCGAAAUGGUGCUGCACCCUAGGGAGUUCCUGAGUACCACGGGACACGUGAAACCCUGUGGGAAUCUGGGAGGACCAUCUUCCAAGGCUAAAUACUACCCGAUGACCGAUAGUGAACGAGUACCGUGAGGGAAAGGUGAAAAGAACCCCGGGAGGGGAGUGAAAUAGAAACUGAAACCGUUAGUUUACAAGCAGUGGAAGCACUAUGUCGCAAGACAGUGCAACCGCGUGCCUUUUGCAUAAUGAGUCAACGAGUUACCGUAUGCAGCGAGGUUAAGCCGCGAGGUGGAGCCGGAGCGAAAGCGAGUCUUAAGAGGGCGAUCAGUUGCAUGCGGUAGACCCGAAACCGGGUGAUCUAGCCAUGUCCAGGGUGAAGUCUCGGUAACACGAGAUGGAGGCCCGAACCAGUGUAGGUUGAAAACUGCUUGGAUGAGGUGUGGCUAGGAGUGAAAGGCUAAUCAAACUCGGUAAUAGCUGGUUUUCUCCGAAAUAUAUUUAGGUAUAGCCUCACAUGAUGACCGACGGAGGUAGAGCACUGACAAGGCUAGGGGUCCCACCGGAUUACCAACCCUUAUCAAACUCCGAAUGCCGUCGAGCUUUAGUGUGGGAGUCAGACUGCGGGAGAUAAGUUCCGUAGUCGAGAGGGAAACAGCCCAGACCGUCAGCUAAGGUCCCUAAAUCUAUGCUCAGUGGGAAAGGAGGUGGAACUGUCCAGACAACCAGGAGGUUGGCUUAGAAGCAGCAACCCUUUAAAGAAAGCGUAAUAGCUCACUGGUCUAAUGGAUCUGCGCCGAAAAUUCAACGGGGCUAAGCAUAGUACCGAAGCUACGGAUCCAGAAAGCUGAUUUAAGCGUAUUAGCAAACAGGGAAAGAAGUUCGCGAGCGGAUAGAUUGUUAUCCCCUGCCCGCCUACAGCUUAUCAUGCAGAUAAGUUAAAAAUCGUAGGC
rnacentral:ncRNA from 1 species